GUGUCAGCCGCCGCGGUAAUACGUAGGGUGCGAGCGUUGUCCGGAAUUACUGGGCGUAAAGAGCUCGUAGGCGGUUUGUCACGUCGUCUGUGAAAUCCUGCAACUCAAUUGUAGGCGUGCAGGCGAUACGGGCAGACUUGAGUACUACAGGGGAGACUGGAAUUCCUGGUGUAGCGGUGAAAUGCGCAGAUAUCAGGAGGAACACCGGUGGCGAAGGCGGGUCUCUGGGUAGUAACUGACGCUGAGGAGCGAAAGCGUGGGGAGCGAACAGGAUUAGAUACCCUGGUAGUCCACGCCGUAAACGGUGGGUACUAGGUGUGGGCCUCAUUUCACGAGGUCUGUGCCGUAGCUAACGCAUUAAGUACCCCGCCUGGGGAGUACGGCCGCAAGGCUAAAACUCAAAGAAAUUGACGG
rnacentral:rRNA from 1 species